AUCGCGGAAGCAUUAAGUGGCGAUGCGCCAGUCUCCAAAACUGGAUAGCAAGGUUCGAUUCCUUGUCGCGGUGCCA
rnacentral:tRNA from 1 species